CCUACGGGGGGCAGCAGGCGCGAAAACUUUGCAAUGCGGGAAACCGUGACAAGGGAACUCUGAGUGCCCGUAAAAUCGGGCUGUCCACCGGUGUAAAUAACCGGUGAAGAAAGGGCCGGGCAAGACCGGUGCCAGCCGCCGGUAUUACCGCGGCGGCUCGAGUGGUGGCCACUAUUACUGGGCUUAAAGCGUUCGUAGCUGGUUUGUUAAGUCUCUGGGGAAAUCUUCCGGCUUAACCGGAAGGCGUCUCAGGGAUACUGGCAGACUAGGGACCGGGAGAGGUGAGAGGUACUCCAGGGGUAGGAGUGAAAUCCUGUAAUCCUUGGGGGACCACCUGUGGCGAAGGCGUCUCACCAGAACGGCUCCGACAGUGAGGGACGAAAGCUGGGGGAGCAAACCGGAUUAGAUACCCGCGUAGUCC
rnacentral:rRNA from 1 species